rnacentral:rRNA from 1 species
CGCGGCCUAUCAGCUUGUUGGUGAGGUAAUGGCUCACCAAGGCGUCGACGGGUAGCCGGCCUGAGAGGGUGACCGGCCACACUGGGACUGAGACACGGCCCAGACUCCUACGGGAGGCAGCAGUGGGGAAUAUUGCACAAUGGGCGCAAGCCUGAUGCAGCAACGCCGCGUGAGGGAUGACGGCCUUCGGGUUGUAAACCUCUUUUAGCAGGGAAGAAGCGAAAGUGACGGUACCUGCAGAAAAAGCGCCGGCUAACUACGUGCCAGCAGCCGCGGUAAUACGUAGGGCGCAAGCGUUAUCCGGAAUUAUUGGGCGUAAAGAGCUCGUAGGCGGUUUGUCGCGUCUGCUGUGAAAUCCCGAGGCUCAACCUCGGGUCUGCAGUGGGUACGGGCAGACUAGAGUGCGGUAGGGGAGAUUGGAAUUCCUGGUGUAGCGGUGGAAUGCGCAGAUAUCAGGAGGAACACCGAUGGCGAAGGCAGAUCUCUGGGCCGUAACUGACGCUGAGGAGCGAAAGGGUGGGGAGCAAACAGGCUUAGAUACCCUGGUAGUCCACCCCGUAAACGUUGGGAACUAGUUGUGGGGUCCAUUCCACGGAUUCCGUGACGCAGCUAACGCAUUAAGUUCCCCGCCUGGGGAGUACGG